rnacentral:rRNA from 1 species
GAUGAACGCUGGCGGCGUGCCUAAUACAUGCAAGUCGAACGCACAGUUUAUACCGUUGCUUGCUUCACCAUAGACUGUGAGUUGCGAACGGGUGAGUAACGCGUAGGUAACCUGCCUGGUAGCGGGGGAUAACUAUUGGAAACGAUAGCUAAUACAGCUUAAUAUUGAUUAUUGCAUGAUAAUUAAUUGUAUGGUGCUAUUGUACCACUACCUGCUGGACCUGCGUUGUAUUAGCUAGUAGGUGAGGUAACGGGUCACCUAGGCGAAGAAAGAGAGCCGACCUGAGAAGGGGAUCGGGCACAAUGGGAAUGGGACAAGGCCCAAACUCCUACGGGGAGGAGCAGGAGGGGAACUUCGGCAAAAGACGGAAGGCUGAACGAGCAAAGCCGGGGUGGUGAAGAAGGUUGUCGGGUUGUAAAACUCUGUUUUAUGGGAAAAAAGAGAGGUGGAGUUAAAUAUUCACGCUGUGACGGUAUCUAACCAGAAAGGGACGGCUAACUACGUG